rnacentral:rRNA from 1 species
UAGGCGUAAAUGAUGCGAGUUAAGUGUGGGGGCAUCUACGAGAUGGCCCUGUGCUGUAGGGUAGCCGUUAAACUCGCUGCCUGGGGAGUACGGUCGCAAGGCUGAAACUUAAAGGAAUUGGGCGGGGGAGCACCACAAGGGGUGAAGCUUGCGGUUUAAUUGGAGUCAACGCCGGAAAUCUCACCGGGAGCGACAGCAGUGUGAUAGCCAGGUUGAUGACCUUGCUUGACAAGCUGAGAGGAGGUGCAUGGCGUAGUCGUGU